AGUCGUGAGGAAAGAAGUUCUGUCAGAGCUCACCAGUGUGCAUUUCUUCCAUAUGCUGUUAGGUGAGAAGAGACCUACCCUGCUCUUGCUGUAAGCACCUCUCAGAAAUCCAUAGCUUCCAUAGCCAGGAUUCCCUGAUGAUUCUCCAGGAAAGAGAAGCUGUUCCAGCCAGCAGCCAUCACUAGAUGGUGCACGCCACUUACCACCCUGAGUCCUGCUUUCCCUGCCGGAGUGCAUGCCCAGCUCCUAGCUCUCAGCCCUGGGCAGGGUGGCACGAGGUGAGCCAGGUGGGCAAUGCCAAACUGGUUUGAGUGAGAAAGAGAGAGAAGCAGAGCUGUGUUGUACUGCACCUUCGGACUGAUCAUGCUUAGUACUACAUUUUGGGGCAUUAGAAAACAUUUCUGUAGGACAAGCUUUCUCCUGGUGAAAUAAUGUUGAAAGGAAGAUGUUGCGUAGUUCCUUAAAUAGAUUAUUGGCCUGCAGAAAUACCAUGUGGUCUAUUAAUGAACCAUCUGGUACAUCAGCUCAGCAUCAUACAGCUAGUUUUUCAAGAGAAUUUAGGUUUUUGAUAUGCAAAUGAGAUGACAUGGUACAGAGCAACAAGGAUAGGCUGUUGAUGGUGUCAGUUUCAGUUUGUCCCCAGUUAAUAUGAAAAGGUGAUGAAUACAACCUGGAGCAAAUUUACCCUUUAUACUUUUUUUGAAUAACAUUCCUCCAAGAACACCAAGGAAAGCAAAAGCUGUCAAAGCUGUGAGCUGAAUGACACUGCAGUUGGUUCUGAACCAUUGGGUCUCCUACUAUUUGAUGGUUAUUUGAUUGUCAAAAAAAAGAAAACUUACACAGGAAGAUCAAAAUAAGGGUAUGGGUAAGCAAAGUCUGGACUUUUUUUUUUCCUUUUAAGGGAUGUUCCACUCAUUGAACGUAUGUCUUUGUCCUGACAUAGUAUUUGAAAAUGUUGAAAACUUCUGAAUCCCAAGCAGACACAUUACAGUAGGAAACUGCCAAAUAUACUUUGGGCUCUCUAAAAUAACCUCUAUAUUCAUAGAAGGAAUCAAUGGAUAUGCUUUUGAACCAAAGGAACAUGAAUUUGUAAUGAAUCUUCAUGCCGCCUCAUGCAUAUGUAAGGUUCAUUGCCAUCUGCAGAAGUAUUUAGGCAUCUCCUGAACUACAGUGUAAAUUUUCUGUCCUGUUUGGAUGAAAAACGAAAUGGAUUUUGACAAAAACAGGUUUUAAAUGAAAUAAUAAUGCAUGAGAUAAAACAAAGAUUAUGUAUGUACCUGAAAUUGACAAAGUCAGGUAACUUCAUAGCAAUUUACUUCACUACGGAUCUGAAAUGUUCACUAUAAAAAUGCAAUUUGGAUGUUUGUGGAAGCUGGUUUCCACUGAGGAAUCCUCCUGGUGGAAGUUACCCAGGUGGCUCUUAAAAUGAGAUCUCUAUGCAUUUUUCAUUUAUUUCUUUCUUUUUUGCUUUCAUUUGUUCAGUCUGCUGGGAGUGACCAAAACUUUUCAACAAAACUUUUGCACAGUAUUCUUUAGUUUAAAACAAACAAAAAAACCCACAACUUUUUCAGGAAUAUAUAUUUUCAAAAGUGAAAAUGUAGUGAUAUUUUGAAACCUUACUGUUUUUUCCUGAAUAUUUUUAGGAAAGCUGUUAUGCUAAAUUAUUUUUAUCAAACAAUAGACUUAAUUUUCUUUCACUUAACUACUGUCCUCAAACCACAGAUUAGUUAAGUUUACAAACAAAAUAAAAAAGUAUUAAU
rnacentral:lncRNA from 1 species